UACGAAGGGGGCUAGCGUUGUUCGGAUUUACUGGGCGUAAAGCGCACGUAGGCGGAUUGUUAAGUCAGGGGUGAAAUCCUGGAGCUCAACUCCAGAACUGCCUUUGAUACUGGCAAUCUAGAGUCCGGAAGAGGUGAGUGGAACUCCUAGUGUAGAGGUGGAAUUCGUAGAUAUUCGGAAGAACACCAGUGGCGAAGGCGGCUCACUGGCCCGGUACUGACGCUGAGGUGCGAAAGCGUGGGGAGCAAACAGG
rnacentral:rRNA from 1 species